GAAAGUAAUGAAGGGCGUACGGUGGAUGCCUAGGCUCUUACAGGCGAUGAAGGACGUGAUAAGCUGCGAAAAGCCGCGGUGAGGCGCAAAUGGCCCUUGACCCGCGGAUCUCCGAAUGGGACAACCCAAUAUCUUGAAGAGAUAUUAUCCCGCCGAUGCGGGAGGCGAACGCGGGGAACUGAAACAUCUUAGUACCCGCAGGAAAAGAAAAUAAAGAAUGAUUCCCCCAGUAGUGGCGAGCGACCGGGGAAGAGCCCAAACCGACGUUGUCUCGGCAUCGUCGGGGUUGUAGGACCGCGCCAUCGCAAGAAAGGCCGUGAGUGGAAGCGACUGGAAAGCCGCGCCAUAGAGGGUGACAGCCCCUUACACGAAGCAGCCUGAAGCGUAGCGGACUCCUGAGUAGCGCGGGACACGAGUAAUCCUGUGUGAAUCCGCCGGGCCCAUCCGGCAAGGCUAAAUACUCGUAAGAGACCGAUAGUGAACCAGUACCGUGAGGGAAAGGUGAAAAGUACCCCUUGCAGGGGAGUGAAAUAGUUCCUGAAACCGUACGCCUACAAGCGGUCGGAGCAUCUUGAAUGAUGUGACGGCGUGCCUUUUGCAUAAUGAACCUACGAGUUGCCGUCACCAGCGAGGUUAAGUGCGAUGACGCACCGAGCCGCAGCGGAAGCGAGUCUUAAAAGGGCGCGAUAGUUGGUGGAGGCAGACGCGAAACCGAGUGAUCUACACUUGUCCAGGAUGAAGUCCCGGUAACACGGGAUGGAGGUCCGCACCAAUAAGCGUUGAAAAGCUUCUGGAUGAGGUGAGUGUAGGAGUGAAAGGCCAAUCAAACUCGGAGAUAGCUCGUACUCCCCGAAAGGCAUUUAGGUGCCGCCUGUGGCGUUCCCGACGUGAGGUAGAGCGACUGAUAGGAUGCGAGGGCUUCACCGCCUAUCAAGUCCUGACAAACUCCGAAUGCACGUCGGCCAAGCCAUGGAGUAAGGGCAUGGGUGCUAAGGUCCGUGCCCGAGAGGAGAAGAAUCCAGACCACCGGCUAAGGUCCCGAAAUACUGGUUAAGUUAGACUAACGCAGUCCGGCCCCCAAGACAGCUAGGAUGUUGGCUUGGAAGCAGCCAUUCAUUCAAAGAGUGCGUAACAGCUCACUAGUCGAGGAGCUGGGCGUGGAUAAUAAUCGGGUAUAAAACCAGUUACCGAAGCCGUGGGAUACUUAAGCAUCGGUAGGGGAGCAUUGCAUGCGGCUUAGAAGGCGGGGCGCGAGCCCCUCUGGAGCGCAUGGAAACGCAAAUGUAGGUAUAAGUAACGACAAGGGGGGUGGGAUGCCCCCCCGCCGAAAGACCAAGGUUUCCUGAACAACGCUAAUCGGUUCAGGGUCAGUCGGGUCCUAAGCAUAAGCCGUAUGGCGAGGGCGAUGGAUGAAACGGUUAAUAUUCCGUUACUGUCUUGGUGUGUGACGCGGCGACGGAGUAGUGACACGGCCGCCUCCUGACGGAAAAGGGGGUUGAAGCGCAAAGGUGUCGAGGAAGGCAGGCAAAUCCACCUUCCGAGCCGAAGCGCGAUAGUACGCCGCGCCCUUUUGGGCAAGGCGAUAGUGCCGGUAAUCAGACUUCCAAGAAAACCCGCUAAACUUCAGCACCAAGUCACCCGUACUCUAAACGGACACACGUGGUCGGGUAGAAUAUACUAAGGCGCUUGGGAGAUUCACGGUUAAGGAACUAGGCAAAUUGACCCCGUACCUUCGGAAUAAGGGGUCCUCGCUUUUGCGAGGCGCAGAGAAUAGGUCCAGGCAACUGUUUAACAAAAACACAGGGCUGUGCAAAUUUGAAAGAAGAAGUAUACAGCCUGACACCUGCCCGGUGCCGGAAGGUUAAGAGGAGAGCUCAUCAGCGAUGAGAAGGUUUGAAUUGAAGCCCCGGUAAACGGCGGCCGUAACUAUAACGGUCCUAAGGUAGCGAAAUUCCUUGUCGGGUAAGUUC
rnacentral:rRNA from 1 species